rnacentral:rRNA from 1 species
AUUUGGAGGGCAAGUCUGGUGCCAGCAGCCGCGGUAAUUCCAGCUCCAAUAGCGUAUAUUAAAGUUGUUGCAGUUAAAAAGCUCGUAGUUGAAUUUCGGAAUCUGUCCGUCGGUCGGGCUUCACUGUCCGUACUGGUGUGAUGGGUUUCUACCUUCUGAAUAACCGGCAUGUCAUUAAUUUGGUGCGCCGGGGAAGCAGAACUAUUACCUUGAAAAAAUUAGAGUGUUUAAAGCAGGC